rnacentral:tRNA from 1 species
GAGGGUAUAGCUCAGUAGUACAGUGUGUGCUUUAGCACGCAUGGAGACUUGGGUUCAAUCCCCAGUACCGCCA